GUCAAUCUGUGCACGUCUCACAGUCACAACUCACAACUCAAGUCUCAGACCUUAUGUCCUUAACGGCUAACGCUACUCUCGUCUCUGAUCUCUCUCUCUCUCAGAGUCUCAGUGACUCAGUAUCAGAACUUAUCGAAGAGGAGUAGAGGACUCCACUCUCAGUCUCAAUCUCAGAUCUUACGCGAGUCGGCGUCGCUAGUCUCAGAUCUCUCUCAGAUUAGAUCUGAUCUAGUGAUCUCUCUCAUCUCAAGUCUAAAGUCUAGUCGUCUUCUCAGAGUCAGAGUCUCAGAUCUCGAACCGACGAACUCUCAGUCUCAGAUCUCGACGCCGGCCGCAGCUUUCCAUUUGAUUCAGGUAAUUUGUUAUUUACCGUAACUCAGUUUAGUGCAUGAAUGAUGAGUAUUGAGUACAUUUUUGUGUAUGUAUUUAUUUUUGUGUAAUUGUGUCUGUGCAUGUGUAAUUUCUUUCUUUUUGAGGUUUUAAAAAGAAAUUAGGAAAAAGAAAUUAGAAAUUAUACUUUUGAGUUUUGAGUUUUGGGAAUAUCUUACUGUUUUUCUUCUGAGUUUUGGGAAUACCUUUUGCUUUUUUGCAGUUACUUUUUUGCAGUGACUUUUUUUUUGCAGUGAACAAAUUGCUUAGUUUAUCAGGCAACAUGUACAACAACUUGCACUCUUGUAGUGAACAAACAACUUGCUUAGUUUAUCAAACAACAUGCUUAGUUUUCUUGUUUAACUUGCAGUGAACAAACAACUUGCUUAGUUUAUCAAACAACAUGCUUAGUUUGAAGUGAACAAAUUGCAAUGAUCAAAUUAAUUCCUUUUUUGUUUAUCAGGCAAGUGGCAACAUGCUAAUUUUCUUGUUGGCUCAAAGCAAGCAUGGAAUUGGAUGGCCAGUAUGGUUUUUUGUUUAUCAGGCAACAUGCUAAUUUUCUUGUUGGCUCAAAGCAAGCAUGGAAUUGGUCCAAUUGGAAGGCAACAGCAACAACUAGCAAGUGGUAGCAACAGCAGCAAAGUGGUAGCAACAGCCAACAGCAGCAAGCUUAAUUGUUGGCAGUAUGGUUUAAAUAAAGUAUGGUUUUUUGUUUAUCAGGCAACAACAACAACUAGCAAGUGGUAGCAACAGCAGCAACUAGCAACUAGCAAGUGGAUUAUGUUGUUAUGGAACUGUUAACUAAUAACUAGUAACUGUGUUGUUAUGGAACUGUUAUCUAUUAACUGUGUUGUUUAUGGGACUGUUAACUAGUAAAUGCGUUGUUUAUGGAACUGUUUAACUAGUAACUGUGUUGUUUAUGGAACUGUUAAUGGAUUGUAGGAAAUGUGUUUGUUGUUUAUGGAUUGUAGGAAUUAAACUGUGUUGCUGAUAUUUCUUUUUAAUUCGGUUAUUAACCGAAUAACCGAAUAUCCUAUUCGGUUAUUCAGUUAUUCGGUUAUUCGGUUAGUGCAAAAUUCGGUUACUUGUUCGGAUAGUUAAAACAGUGCUUUUUCGGAUACCGGUUAUAACCGAAUUACUGGUUCAGUUCGGUUAUUAACCGAAUGCUCAGUCCUACUUGAGAGCUUCCAUGAUAACUUCACUUUGUUACCCAACCUAAG
rnacentral:lncRNA from 1 species